rnacentral:tRNA from 1 species
AAUAAUGUGCCUGAAAAAGGAUUAUUUUGAUAGAAUAAAUUAUGUAAAAUUAUAUUUACCUUUAUUA